GUAGGGCGGGACACGUGGUAUCCUGUCUGAAUAUGGGGGGACCAUCCUCCAAGGCUAAAUACUCCUGACUGACCGAUAGUGAACCAGUACCGUGAGGGAAAGGCGAAAAGAACCCCGGCGAGGGGAGUGAAAAAGAACCUGAAACCGUGUACGUACAAGCAGUGGGAGCCUCUUUAUGGGGUGACUGCGUACCUUUUGUAUAAUGGGUCAGCGACUUAUAUUCUGUAGCAAGGUUAACCGUAUAGGGGAGCCGAAGGGAAACCGAGUCUUAACUGGGCGUUAAGUUGCAGGGUAUAGACCCGAAACCCGGUGAUCUAGCCAUGGGCAGGUUGAAGGUUGGGUAACACUAACUGGAGGACCGAACCGACUAAUGUUGAAAAAUUAGCGGAUGACCUGUGGCUGGGGGUGAAAGGCCAAUCAAACCGGGAGAUAGCUGGUUCUCCCCGAAAGCUAUUUAGGUAGCGCCUCGUGAACUCAUCUUCGGGGGUAGAGCACUGUUUCGGCUAGGGGGCCAUCCCGGCUUACCAACCCGAUGCAAACUACGAAUACCGAAGAAUGUUAUCACGGGAGACACACGGCGGGUGCUAACGUCCGUCGUGAAGAGGGAAACAACCCAGACCGCCAGCUAAGGUCCCAAAGUCAUGGUUAAGUGGGAAACGAUGUGGGAAGGCACAGACAGCCAGGAUGUUGGCUUAGAAGCAGCCAUCAUUUAAAGAAAGCGUAAUAGCUCACUGGUCGAGUCGGCCUGCGCGGAAGAUGUAACGGGGCUAAACCAUGCACCGAAGCUGCGGCAGCGACACUAUGUGUUGUUGGGUAGGGGAGCGUUCUGUAAGCCGUUGAAGGUGUGCUGUGAGGCAUGCUGGAGGUAUCAGAAGUGCGAAUGCUGACAUAAGUAACGAUAAAGCGGGUGAAAAGCCCGCUCGCCGGAAGACCAAGGGUUCCUGUCCAACGUUAAUCGGGGCAGGGUGAGUCGACCCCUAAGGCGAGGCCGAAAGGCGUAGUCGAUGGGAAACAGGUUAAUAUUCCUGUACUUGGUGUUACUGCGAAGGGGGGACGGAGAAGGCUAUGUCAGCCGGGCGACGGUUGUCCCGGUUUAAGCAUGUAGGCGGAGGUUCCAGGUAAAUCCGGUACCUUAUUAACGCUGAGGUGUGAUGACGAGGCACUACGGUGCUGAAGUGAUAAAUGCCCUGCUUCCAGGAAAAGCCUCUAAGCAUCAGGUAACACGAAAUCGUACCCCAAACCGACACAGGUGGUCAGGUAGAGAAUACCAAGGCGCUUGAGAGAACUCGGGUGAAGGAACUAGGCAAAAUGGUGCCGUAAC
rnacentral:rRNA from 1 species